GACGCUGGCGGCGUGCUUAACACAUGCAAGUCGAACGAUGAAGUUUAGUUUACUAAACAGAUUAGUGGCGCACGGGUGAGUAAUAUAUAGAUAAUCUGCCUCUUAGUCUGGGAUAGCCAUUGGAAACGAUGAUUAAUACUAGAUACUCCUUCUCUUUAUAAUAAGAGUUGGGAAAGGAACAUCUUUAUGGUGUUUCGCUAAGAGAUGAGUCUAUAUCCCAUCAGCUUGUUGGUAGUGUAAGAGACUACCAAGGCAAUGACGGGUAGCGGGUUUGAGAGGAUGAUCCGCCACACUGGUACUGAGACACGGACCAGACUCCUACGGGAGGCAGCAGUGAGGAAUAUUGCACAAUGGAGGAAACUCUGAUGCAGCAACGCCGCGUGGAGGAUGACGCAUUUCGGUGUGUAAACUCCUUUUAUCAAGGAAGAAAAUGACGGUACUUGAUGAAUAAGCACCGGCUAACUCCGUGCCAGCAGCCGCGGUAAUACGGAGGGUGCAAGCGUUAUUCGGAAUCACUGGGCGUAAAGGACGCGUAGGCGGGAAGCCAAGUCUGAUGUGAAAUCCUAUGGCUUAACCAUAGAACUGCAUUGGAAACUGGUUACCUAGAGUAUGGGAGGGGGAGAUGGAAUUAGUAGGUGUAGGGGUAAAAUCCGUAGAUAUUACUAGGAAUACCGAAAGCGAAGGCGAUCUCCUGGAACAAUACUGACGCUAASGCGUGAAAGCGUGGGGAGCAAACGGGAUUAGAUACCCCGGUAGUCCACGCCCUAAACGAUGUUCACUAGUCGUCGGAAUGCUAGUCAUUUCGGUGAUGCACUUAACAGAUUAAGUGAACCGCCUGGGGAGUACGGUCGCAA
rnacentral:rRNA from 1 species